AUGGGUGGAGGGAUGGCAGCAGACCUGACGCACGGGGCGGUGGCGGCGCUGGUGUCGGGGCUGGGGCAGGUGAUGGGCGCCGUGCUGCAGGUUGUGGGCGCGCCGGGGCCAGCGCCGGCGGGAACCGUGGCCGGCACGGGGCACAUGGACGUCACCAUGGACGGCCUCGUCACCGCCGGCCUCCUCCGCGCCGGCUCCGUUGUCCGAGUCCUCGACUACCGCUACAGCUAUGCCACGAACCGAAGGUACUGA
rnacentral:rRNA from 1 species